AAACUGGCUCAUCUGUGCAUCAUAACAGGGAUUUUGGAAUUGAGGCUGUUGUGAUGGUUGUGGGCUAGAGCAGUGCUGCACUACUGGGACACUUACAGGCUACCUCCACACUUAGCAUUACUCAGAAGACAGACAUUCUCUUCUCCCUUUAGCUGCCUGAACUGGAAGGCUUUUGCAUGACUGUAAAGGAAAGAGCUUAAUUCUUCUUUAUGACCUGCUUCAAGCAAAGCUGCAGCAACCAAAUGGACCGUGCUGUGCGAAACCCAACGUCAUGCUCGUGUGAGUCAAACAUCCCCCUCUGGUGCUGGAGAGUUCAGCUAAAGAGCAAACAAUGGUAAACACCAGCAGCUGAAAGCAGGAGUUCUUUUGCUUUCUUCAUGGCAACAGCCCAGCAGACUUACAGAGAUCAAAAAUUACCUUAUCACCUGGAGGUCUGCGGAGAAGCCAAGAGAUGUUGAAACCUCCCACCACCUCCAACAUCAAAGGCUGCAGCAGGGCAUGACUACUAUCACAUAUGACUUUAACCGUGUCAUAAGGUAGCAGCAGUGUCCAGAAGCAAGGCCUUUUCUAUCUUACAGCUUUUGAGAACACCUUGUCUGAACAGAUGCAGGCUGCUUUCUGCUCUGUACCUUUGUGCAGGGAGAGUUCAGAGUUCGUCGUGCAGUCCCGUCGUGCUGUGCUUGCCUCCUUUUGAGUUCACUGUAUUAAAGAUGAAGGUGCAGUCCUGAUGCCUCGUGCUGUGUAUAAAACAGAGGUUUUGAAUAGUGGACAAUCUGCAGUCCAAAAAACCACAACCUUCUAGGGAGCAGAAGACACACUGGUAGGUGACAAAAACAGAGUUCACUGACUGCAGUUUGCAAAAUGCCAUAGGUUAUUUCUGUUUAUUGCCUGGGAUUGUACAAGAAGAUCAGAAUUUAAGCUUGGACAUUCUUGGAUAUUUUCCCCAUGAGACUUGCGUCUGUACAGAGAGAAUGUUAUAAUAUUCUUUCUUCUCCUUGGAGUAGGGAUGAUAUCCCCUUGGCAACAUGAGUGAUCACUUAAAUGGAACAAUAACAUUAAGCAAGUGUUUGCAGUUGUCCUUCAGGGUGCUUUAGCAUCUGGAAACAAGAGAAGAAGUGGUAAGCAAUUAGGAAGACAGAAACAUGCUUGGGAAAGUAAAGAAUAUUUCAAAAAUGGAAUUAUUCUAUAAAAAGAGUCAAAAACGUACCUUUAAAUGAGCAGUUUGGGAGAAUGUUCUAUAGGCUACUUAGGAUGUGACUACUGAAUAUGAGGGAUUUACCCCUUUCUCUGUGGGGUAAGCCAUUGUCUGAGAAAAGACUUUGAUCUGGCUCAGGCUCUGCCCAGACAGGGAAUAUCUCAGUCAAUGACUGUCCCAGUGAAUCACAUUUCUGUGCUCAAUGCCUUCUCCCUGUCUUGGGAGGAAAUGAAUAAUAACUACAGCUACCUCUUCGGCAUCUCUACAUGAAACAAGUUAGGGGGGCAUUUUCAGCUAAGGCAAAGGGGAAAGCUCCAGCGGGAUCAAGGAGUCUUGUACAGCAACUCUUGGACCCAGUUGCCAUUCAGCUCAGAAACAGUUCUCUGCAAGGCUUCUACUAACAUUAACAAUUUGUCCCUUGCAUUGGUAGAAAGCUGUCAGGAUCCCUGAAUCCAUAGUGGUUGGAUGGAAUAGCUGAGCCCCAGUGCACUUCACACAGCACCCACAGCACCAUCGCUUGCAGAAUUAUGGGCUUUAACUCAGCUCUGUGGAUUCAUCCCUUGCUACUUCCUCACUGGCCUUUCUGGUUGACACAAAACUCAGACUUUCACCCAUGUGAAGUUCAAAGCAGCUGCUCACUGUGAGUUCCACUUCCCAAGGGAGCACUCUCCCUCAGACUAAAGUAUGGAAGGUUGGUGCCUCCAGCAAGGAGCAGAGAAGGGCUGAAGCACAGAUCACACUGCAGCUGAAGAAGGUGAUUACAGUUAUGAGGCCAAAACAAGCAGCUAAAAUAUGGAAGUCAGGCAACUUGGUUGAAUUGGAGUUUGACAAGGGAGCAGAGCUUCAGUAGGAUGUUUUUAACAGUCUGAUAUCUGGAAAGUCUCUUUCCUUAAGUGGACAGUUACUACAAACAAAAUGGCCUUCUCCUUCUUUUGUCAGGAUUAAUUCCUGCAAUCCAUACUGUACAUUUCUCUGCGCUUGUCUGCUAACUAUGUAGAAAGUGCUGAGCAAUCAUGCAUAAUUUAUUACUCUUAAUUAAAAUGUACAUUUAUUGUCAGUCUUUUGGGGUAAUUAAAGCACCAUUGAGAGAAUAGGUUUAUGUUUUGUAUCUUUUGCAAAAAUAAACAAAUAAUGUUUUGUGUUCUGUUUGAAGGGGCACAGUUGAUCACCAAGCAGGAUGCAACUAAACUUCCAGAGUAGGUCUGUCAGUUAGCAUGUAUCUAAUAUUCAACAGGAUGUGAACCUACUUUGCUAUAAAGUGGGUUGCCUUAUUCUCUGUGGAGCUAAAUGCUUGUGUUUUGGUUUUUGGCAUAGAUGGAAAGUAUUAUUUAUAGAUGUAUUUCUACACUCCAUCCCCAAAUCCAGACUAUUUUAUUGGCCUCCAGCUGUUCCUCAGAAGCCUACAGAGAUACAUUUGAUGUAUUGCAGUGCCUACUGUAAACACCUGACUUACCAAAGCAUCUUGCAGGUUAGAUCAGGCUUCAUAAUUUAUAGAUCUUGAAGCUCCCCAUGCAGUUGGGUAUCUAUGAAAUGAAGGAAUAAGCGCAUGAAAAGAACAAUCUUCCACAGGGAUGGGAUAGUGAAAGGAUGCACAGGGUGAGACUUUGUAGAAAUUGCAGUAGAACUGUCCUUGAAGAUUUGCAGAAUGUAGUGAAGGUGAUCUUGAGAUUGAGGAAGGGUGGAUAUUAGGAAACUUUUCUUAUCAGAAAGAGUAGUGACGUGCUGGCACAGGCUGCCCAGGGAGUGAUGGAGUCACUGUCUCUGGAAAUGUUCAAGAAAAGGAUGGAUGUCACACUCAGUGGCACAGUCUAGAAUGGUCACAGGCAUGGUUUGAUAGUUUAACCUGAUCUUAGAGGUCUUUCCAAUCUUAGUGAUUCUGUGACUUGAUGAAGUGCAAAGAGCUCAUGAAAGAGAACUGCUAUGGGGCCAUGCAUGGGUAGAGAGGAGAGGCUUCCCAGCUCCCCCUCACAAAUUGCUGUGGGAUUGGGAUUGUUUCACCACCACUCUUCUGCUUGUUUCUUCUUUCUGACAAAAACAUGAUCUGUCUCUGUCUGCAUCCUGUCUUUCUGUCUCUGCCUCCCAUGGACAGGCAGACAGAAAGUCAUUUCAGCUCUGGGGGAGGGUUUUGUACUGAGCAGAAGCCUCUCAGACAAGGAAGGGAGGUGUUUUGCUGUGCCAUCCCCUGAAGUCAUGUCUUUCUCAAAUCAAGGCUACGUGCAGCUCUCUGGGAAGGUCUGACAUUCAUUACCUGCCUUCUGCCAUAAUCUUAUUGCUUCAGAAAUAUGCAGGGAAUUUCAUGAUCCACCCUUCUAGCCCAGUCAGCACGCUCAGCCCUCAGUCCAACCUCCCAGGCCCAAGUCUCACUGGGCAGGCCAGGUGGAUGCUGGAGUGACCCAGUAUCAGCUCUGUCACUGUAGGCAGUACAGAGUGAAACUGAUUAUUAUCAACAGCACAUGUACAAGCUGCGAGGCUUUUGAUGUUGGGGUUCAUGUGUGUUGAGUUAGCCAGCACACCUUAAUCAGAUUUUAUUUUCUUUUUUAAACGAAGAUUCGAAGAGCUCUUAUCUCCCCAUCCUUUGAACUCGUGCUUUGCUGACGUCUCCACAGACACAGCCUUCCCUCUGCCAGGUCCCAGCAGGACCCAGCCACAGCUCCAACUCAGCAAGGCAAAAUGGCAGGCACCACUGGGUGUGCUGAGACAAGCCUGGCACGGCUCUGGAACAAGGAGCUCAUCAUCCGCCUCUGUGAUGUUGGACCAUAUUUUACCAGUGGGGUUGGGGACGGAUGGAAAAAGGACAGGUAAAAGCCAUUGGAAGAGGCUCUGAUGAAUUCAAUAACAGCCUGGCUGUUCUGGCCUUCCCUGAGCACCAGCCAUUUCCUCAUGGGUGCAGGGAGUCUCCAGAAAGCAAACCCUGAAACUCAUCAGCUCCGCUUGCAAAAUUCAGAGUCUUUGUCCUAACCACAAACACUUCACCAGCACCCCACCCGCCACAGAACACAAUAGCUCAUUCCCUCCAUGCCUCUCCAAGCUUUUCACAGAUAUUAGUCAACAUUUUCAUGUUAUUAUUACAGCUUUAC